ensembl:snRNA U6 U6 spliceosomal RNA
GUGCUCCCUUCAGCAGCACAUUUACCAAAAUCAGAACAACACUGAGAUUAGCAUGGUCCCUGCGUAAGCAUGACACACACAUUAUUGAAGCAUUCCAUGAUCUU